AUUGAACGCUGGCGGAAUGCUUUACACAUGCAAGUCGAACGGCAGCACGGACUUCGGUCUGGUGGCGAGUGGCGAACGGGUGAGUAAUGUAUCGGAACGUGCCCAGUCGUGGGGGAUAACGUAGUGAAAAUUACGCUAAUACCGCAUACGAUCUAUGGAUGAAAGCGGGGGAUCGCAAGACCUCGCGCGAUUGGAGCGGCCGAUAUCAGAUUAGGUAGGUGGUGGGGUAAAGGCCCACCAAGCCAACGAUCUGUAGCCGGUCUGAGAGGACGAGCAGCCACACUGGAACGGAGACACGGUCCAGCCUCCUACGGGAGGCAGCAGUGGGGAAUUUUGGACAAUGGGCGAAAGCCUAAUCCAGCCAUUCCGCGUGCAAGAUGAAGGCCCUCGGGUUGUAAACUGCUUUUGUACAGAACGAAAAGGUUUCUACUAAUACUAGGAGCUCAUGACGGUACUGUAAGAAUAAGCACCGGCUAACUACGUGCCAGCCGCCGCAGUAA
rnacentral:rRNA from 1 species